rnacentral:snRNA from 1 species
GAACUCAGCAGCACAUAUACUAAAAUUGGAACGACACAGAGAAGAUUAGCAUGGCCCCUGCACAAGAAUGACAUGCAAAUUCGUGAAGCAUUCCAUAUUUUU